CUUUCUAUUGACCCGGGGUCUGUAAUGUCCCUUGCUCCUUCCCUCAGAAGCUCUGGAAAUUGGCAGUCUUUGCUGUACUCUCCUCCAGUUUCAGAUGUAACAUGCUGUGAAGCUGCUUUGGGUCAACAAGAAACCUUCAUAACAGGCAUUUCAGAUCCUGGAAAUGUCGUAGCGCGGGCGGGUUUUGAAGGCAGCAGA